AGUCGUGUGUACAUCAUUGGGAAUGGAGGGAAAUAAAUGACUGGAUGGUCGCUGCUUUUUAAGUUUCAAAUUGACAUUCCAGACAAGCGGUGCCUGAGCCCGUGCCUGUCUUCAGAUCUUCACAGCACAGUUCCUGGGAAGGUGGAGCCACCAGCCUCUCCCUGGCUCUGCCGACUUCCAGUUCUGGAACAAGAUGGUUAAACUCAUUUUUCCCUGCUCUGCUCCUCUAAAUACAACUAAGUACCUUGGAAACUAUUCAGCAGACAAUGAUAAAGGGCUCUGAAAGCUAGAAGAAAAGGUGUACUUGCAAGAAACCUCAGGACUUGAGUAACAGCAACAUGUAACACCUUUUACAAUCUUAAGAUGCGAAUUUUCUGCAGAACAGCCACCUGGGAACAGGCCUGUCUUGUGCAGAAGCCUGAGGGACUGGGAGCCAAUCUCAUCACUCCCUCACUUGAUUAUGGAAAGAUGAAAACAGAGAGUGGAGAAAUGAAGGGUUCUUCUGAGCUAUGAAGGGGCCCAGAUUUAAGGGCUAUUUUUGACACCCUAAAUGUGCUGAGACAAGUCAUUAAGGUGGUCCUGCCAGGACACAGCCAUCUAAAGCAGCAAUCUGCUUCUUGCCAGAAAAUCUCGUGCCUCUGCAGAGCCUUUUCCAGAAUGAACCACACCAUGCUGAGGAAAGGAGAAAGAGACUACCUACUGCAUUUCUGUCACUCGCUGAAAAGGACACUCUGUCAGAAAAUCUUCUAGCAAACUUCAAAGGGCAAAAUCACCCCUUGUUACUGAUAAAGCCCAGAGAGCUUCAGCAGCUAACAUUCCCUGGACAGGGCACAGCAAGGAUUUGAACCUAGCUCACCAAGCUCCUGUAUCUACUGGAAAAUGGAAGUCCAGCCUUACCAACUUGUGAACCUUGUCUGAAGGGAGCCAGGGCCUGCCAAUGGAACCACCUCCAGGAGCUGCAACUGCUGUUGUCAUUAAUACCAUUGUGUCUAUUUUUUGAGAGAGAUAAACUUUUCAUGGUGUUACAUUUUGGAAAAAAAAAAAAAAGACUAGGUGAACAGUCAGGUAGGAAAGCAGCAUAACAGUCCCUUAAAUUCUGAUCAUGUAGGACAUUCUUCUUUGCCCUGGGCCUGGGAAAAUGCAGCAUGUUCCAGAGCAAAAGUCCUAAUGAGGGGAACUAAACCAGUGGGACCCAAACCAAUGUCCUGGCUCACUGAGGACCCGUUAGAACCAAAUCUCUGGGUGUGGACAGGCUCCCAUACUUUUCAAAAAUUCCCCUGAUGACUAAUGAACAACCAGAGGUAAGAACCAGUGGCCCAGAGGAAUAACCAGCCCAGCUGUUGUACGAGCUCGCUAAGCUGGCUCAGGUCAAUGUUGAAUUCUCUGCUAGGCAGCUCCUCAUAAGAACUGGCAGAGAUGGUUCUUACACAACAACAGGUGACAACUCCAGACUCUGCCGGAAGUUCCAGGAUCUGGGUUCCCGGACAAUGCAUGACACUCAGUCCAGCAUUGCAGGUGGAAGAGCGACGGUGAAAAGACCAAAGUCAAUUAAAAUGUGUUAACCAAAACAGGAAACAUGAGUGAGGUGAUUGAGAGUGUGUUUAACUUAGAUGUGUGAUUUUAUCAAUACUUUCAUUGUUCAAAAACUCUUAUUUUUUAAAGAUAUUUUCAAAACAAAUCCAAACUUUACUUUUCAUUCCAAA
ensembl:lncRNA MIR4435-2HG MIR4435-2 host gene